rnacentral:sRNA from 2 species
GUUUAAGUUUUAUAGGGUUCCGCAAUACGGCAGUAUUGGCCUGGUCCAAGAUAAAACGCGCAGGUAACUGCGUUCACGGAAGGAUAAAAGCCUGGGAGAU